GCAUCCGAAUGUGCACGUUUCUUCAACUCGAAGAAUUUUCUGCCAGAUGUCCCCAUUGGAGGGAGCUGCCUGGAUACGAUACAAUGUCUUGGCGGAGAUGGUGCACAAUGCCAAGACGUCGGUUAUGGACAACGGAAGUGUGGUUGCAUAACAGGAUACGAAGUCAGAAGAUUGCCAUACCACAGACGUACUCACGAUAAAUACGGACAACGUCAUGCCGCUUACCAAUUAGAAUGUAGGCCGGUUGCAACCUGUGAGGACACAUGUGCGGAGAUCACUUGCCCGGUUGGCCAAACGUGUCACUCGAAUGCUUGUGCUGGCACGUGUUUACUCGACGCAGAUUGUACGGACGCAGCUGCACCAGUAUGCUG